UACGUAGGGGGGCUAGCGUUGUCCGGAAUCAUUGGGCGUAAAGAGCGUGUAGGCGGCCCGGUAAGUCCGCUGUGAAAGUCGGGGGGCUCAACCCUCGAAUGCCGGUGGAUACUGUCGGGCUAGAGUGCGGAAGAGGCGAGUGGAAUUCCUGGUGUAGCGGUGAAAUGCGCAGAUAUCAGGAGGAACACCGAUUGCGAAGGCAGCUCGCUGGGGACGUCACUGACGCUGGAGACGCGAAAAGCGUGGGGAGCAAACAGG
rnacentral:rRNA from 1 species